GCGCCCAUCGUCUAGCGGUUAGGACGUCGCCCUUUCACGGCGGAGACAGGGGUUCGAUUCCCCUUGGGCGUACCA
rnacentral:tRNA from 1 species